rnacentral:lncRNA from 1 species
CCAAUGCAAAAAUUUUGUCCUUCGCUCCACCCAUGAACACGAAUAAACCACACGAGUUAUGAUGACUUAUUUGAUAAGGUGAAUUAAACAUUAAAAAAUCACAAGAUACAAGUUAUUCCUGUAAUUCAGAAGUCAAUGUCUGAAAUAAUAAAACGGGAUAAACCACUUAUCCCGGGCCAAUUCUAGCACGUCCCAAAAGAUUUACUUUAGCGGACUCAAUUUAAUAAAAAAGGAACCAAUAAUAUGAGUAAAAAAUAAAUAAUACUAUCUAGCAGAAGUGAUUUUAGAGCAUUAGUUCCUGAUAAAAUUAUUUGAUUUAUUUAAUUGAAUCUUUAAUUUAAUGCCAAUAGUGACGUCACUAAAAUUGAUACUAAACACAUAUGGUGUUAAAUAACAUUACUCUGAAAAAAUUACAACUUCUUAGCACUUAUCAAAUUCCUAAUAAUAGUAUAAUUAUACCACUGUACUGAAUAAAUGGAAUAUAUAAUACUGACAUGCAUAGAUAUCUGUGUGUGUAUAAAUAUCUGGUGAGAGAACGUGAGAGAGAUAAAAUUUGGCAUAGAAAUUGAGUCCUCGUUUGUCUCUUAUUUUUGGAAGAAUAAGAAUGAAAAAUAUAGUGAUUACAGGUCCCACAUAAGAAAUAGAAAUUUAAAUUUGGUGGCUUGAUGUGAUAGAUAACGUUCAUAUUUUACAUUUUAAUAAGGAAUGAAUGGGAACCAAACAAGGGCUGAAAAUGAUAAUUCCAAGUUUGAUGAUG